rnacentral:lncRNA from 1 species
AAAAAAUCCAAAAUAACCAAUAUUUCAAAAAAAUAUCAAAAUAACCAUCUUUCAAAACAGAUGCCCCAUAUUAACUGGCGCAUCCGUUUUGUAACAGGAGGAGGCUCCCACAUCAUUGGCGCAUGCUUUGGAAGCAUUUAAUGUUGGUGCCAAGUGAGCUGACGUCUAUACUUGGCCAUUGGUGUAUGCGCCAAUUCAUAUGGCGCAUACACCUUUGUAUUUUUUUUUUUAUUUUUUUU